rnacentral:rRNA from 1 species
CCUACGGGUGACAGCAGUGAGGAAUAUUGGUCAAUGGCCGAGAGGCUGAACCAGCCAAGUCGCGUGCGGGAUGACGGCCCUCCGGGUUGUAAACCUCUUUUGUCGGGGAGCAAAGAGAGUCACGUGUGGCUCAUUGAGAGUAUCCGAAGAAAAAGCAUAGGCAAACCCCGUGUCAGCAGCCGCGGUAAUACGGAGGAGGCGCGGGUUAUCCGGAUUUAUGGGGUUUAAAGGGUGGGCAGGCGGAGGUGCAAGUGAGUGGUAAGAUUGUGGGGCUCAACCCCGUACUGCCGUUGAAACUGCAUGCCUUGAGUGCGCGAGAGGUAUGCGGAAUGCGUGGUGUAGCGGUGAAAUGCAUAGAUAUCACGCAGAACUCCGAUUGCGAAGGCAGCAUACCGGCGCGCAACUGACGCUCAUGCACGAAAGCGUGGGUAUCGAACAGGAUUAGAUACCCUAGUAGUC